rnacentral:tRNA from 1 species
UGGCUCAGACGAUAAAGCGUCUGCCUGCAGUGCAGGAGACCCGGGUUCGAUCCCUGG